CUCGCCGCCGGGGCCGCGGCCGGACCGACCGCCGCACGCCCCGGGACGAGACGACAUGUGGCCCCUCGCGGCUGAAUCGCAAC
ncrna:Halorubrum sp. T3 eL15-Euryarchaeota ribosomal protein leader